CUCGAAGAAUUUUUACUUCUGCUCCAGAGUCAAGACCAAACCAGCGCGUUGAGAUUUCCUCAACUAUCUUCAGCGCCCAAUCCAUAUCAAGAAAUGGAUUUACUUCCGUUGUAAUGCAGGCUAGAAUCUGUUGGUUUGAUAAAUAUGCUAGACGAGAGUUUAUGCUCUGGACAAACGUGGAGUUAUUCCAGAAGAUAUUGUGGCUUUGAAAUAUCUGACCCUUUUGAAGAUUGAUCAAAAUUUCUUCACGGGUACCUUGCCAGCAUUUAUUGGAAACUUAUCUCAAUUGCAGAGUCUGU